UACGUAGGGUGCAAGCGUUGUCCGGAAUUAUUGGGCGUAAAGAGCUCGUAGGCGGUCUGUCGCGUCGGAUGUGAAAAUCCAGGGCUCAACCCUGGACCUGCAUUCGAUACGGGCAGACUAGAGUUCGGUAGGGGAGACUGGAAUUCCUGGUGUAGCGGUGAAAUGCGCAGAUAUCAGGAGGAACACCGGUGGCGAAGGCGGGUCUCUGGGCCGAAACUGACGCUGAGGAGCGAAAGCUAGGGGAGCAAACAGG
rnacentral:rRNA from 1 species